AUAAAUUCUUUCGUAUCUACAGAUUUUGUGAAAGAAAAAGGAUGAAACAAAUUAUACGGACAACCCUAAAAAAUUAUAUAAAUACUAUGAUAUUAAAUUAAUUUAUUGUGGGGGAGGGCUCAUCACAGUGGCUUGCCACUGGGGCUCUUGCGUGUCGCCUAGGCAUUGCACUAUUGCCCAGGCUUGGCGCCCAGAUU